rnacentral:rRNA from 1 species
UACGGGGGGGGCAAGCGUUGUUCGGAAUUACUGGGCGUAAAGGGCUCGUAGGUGGCCAACUAAGUCAGACGUGAAAUCCCUCGGCUUAACCGGGGAACUGCAUCUGAUACUGGAUGGCUUGAAUUCGGGAGAGGGAUGCAGAAUUCCAGGUGUAGCGGUGAAAUGCGUAGAUAUCUGGAGGAACACCGGUGGCGAAGGCGGCAUCCUGGACCGGCAUUGACGCUGAGGAGCGAAAGCCAGGGGAGCAAACGGG